rnacentral:lncRNA from 13 species
AGUACUUCUCCUGUCCUAUUCGGUGUCCUGUGUGAAUUUAAGUGUGCUCUCUCUAAUUCUCUCUUUCUCUCUUUCUUUCUCUCUCUCGGAGGACCUGAGCCCUAGGACCAUGCCUCAGGACUACCUGACAUGAUGACUCCUUGCUGUCCCCAGUCCACCUGGCCAUGCUGCUGCUCCAGUUUCAACUGUUCUGCCUUAUCAUUAUUGGACCAUGCUGGUCAAUUAUGAACAUUUGAACAUCUUGGCCAUGUUCUGUUAUAAUCUCUACCCGGCACAGCCAGAAGAGGACUGGCCACCCCACAUAGCCUGGUUCCUCUCUAGGUUUCAUCCUAGGUUUUGGCCUUUCUAGGGAGUUUUUCCUAGCCACCGUGCUUCUACACCUGCAUUGCUUGCUGUUUGGGGUUUUAGGCUGGGUUUCUGUACAGCACUUUGAGAUAUCAGCUGAUGUAAUAAGGGCUAUAUAAAUACAUUUUGAUUUGAUUUGGAUUUGAUUUGAUUUACAGAAACAGGAAACAGUCUUUACAGAAACACAAAUCGGAGACAGUCUUUACAGAAACACAAAUCGGAGACAGUCUUUACAGAAACGCAAACAGGAGACAGUCUUUACAGAAACAGGAGCCAGUCUUUACAGAAACGCAAACAGGAGACAGUCUUUACAGCAACACAAACAGGAGACAGUCUUUACAGAAACACAAACAGGAGACAGUAUUUACAGAAACAGGAGACAGUCUUUACAGAAACAGGAGACAGUCUUUACAGAAACACAAACAGGAGACAGUCUUUACAGAAACACAAACAGGAGACAGUCUUUACAGAAACAGGAGACUAGCUACUAGUAGCUACUAACUAAUCGUGGAUGCAUGACCUAUUCUGUGAUAUAUCUGGGUUAACUUGCUCAUAUCAAGCGACACAUACCAGACCGUUUGUGGAAAGGUAAACAUAACAAUUAGUGGGCUCGUUUUUUAAGGAUCCGACAGUGAAACUAAAAUAGAUUGGUAGCUAGCUGGUGAGACUUUCAUUUAUUUCCCAAUUCAUUUGUUGAUCAAGCUGGGUUUCCUCAGUCAUUUGGUAGGUGCCGGCGGCAGGAGCUAGCUAAACAGACAGCUCUGUAGAACAUCUGUGUGACAUCACGCACUCAAAAAGUCUCAACCAAUCACCCGACUGUUUCUAUGUCGAGAGUCAUGAAUAUUCAUGAAAUUGUGUUGCCGGGCAAUGAUGGAGGUUAAACUAGCUAGCUAUCUUGCUAAGUUAGUUUGGUAGCUAGCUGGUGAAAAGGGGUUGACAUUAGUUAGUUAAUAGACUAUGGUUAAAAGCUUCCUUGUGUUGUGUGCCUUUUUCUGCAGUCCAUAUUUCUAGGCAUCGUUUUGUUUGUGUCUAACAACGUUAGAUACUGAACAUAGCAUUAGGUACAUUCACGUUGGAACAUGAAUUACUAGCCCAACAUAAGAUAUUCAGGUUGAGUACCGAAUGGUAGCCGGCUAGUAACAGUGUCUAAAGUUCAGACAGGAUACUGGGCGGAGGCCGGCUAGUAACAGUGUCUAAAGUUCAGACAGGAUACUGGGCGGAGGCCGGCUAGUGGUGACUAUUUUACAGUCUGAUGGCCUGAGGACCGGUUCUAGUGAAUGUUAACUUACUUAGAUGCAGCAAAGGAGCUUGUGAAAAAAGUUAUGAAUUCAAUUAAAUAAUGAACCUGAUGGACAAAUGUCCUCCCGCUCCCACUGGUCUGGCUGUUUACUAACGUUACAGUCCUCUUCGGCUUGUGGAAGAAGGGGACUGGGUGGCGUGGCUGUCUAAGGCACUGCAUCACAGUUCUAGAGGCGUCACUACAAACCCAGGUUCGAUCACGGACUGUAUCACAACCGGCUGUGAUCUGGAGCCUCACAGGGUGGCGCACAAUUGGCCCAGCGUCGUCCGGGUUAGUGGAGGGUUUGACCACGGUAGGCCGUAAUUGUAAAUAAGGAUUUGUUCUUAACUGACUUGCCAGGUUAAAUACAAUUUUAAAAAUAAGGUGGUAAGUAUAUUUUUGUCUGUGUGGGGGCCAAUGCUGGGGUGGGCAAGGAGUCAUGUACCCUCAAUUUGCUGGCCCCUGUGCACAUUCCUGAUAGCAGAGGUAUUGCUCCUCUGUCACCGGUUGGAGAGUAAGCUAUGACCCGCUAGCUAACAACAGUUACCUAGCUACAACAUAAACAAAUACUAUUCAAGCAUUAUGUCCUGAAUUCAAUUGUGAAUAUUGCUGAGAAUUUAACCAAAUAUGUUGAACUUCUCUGUGGUUCAGGUGUCUCUGUUGACAACUUCUCUGCGUUUCAGGUGUCUCUGUUGCCAGGUUCUCUGUGGUUCGGGUGUCUCUGUUGACAACUUCUCUGUGGUUCGGGUGUCUCUGUUGACAACUUCUCUGUGGUUCGGGUGUCUCUGUUGACAACUUCUCUGUGGUUCAGGUGUCUCUGUUGACAACUUCUCUGUGGUUCAGGUGUCUCUGUUGACAACUUCUCUGUGGUUCAGGUGUCUCUGUUGACAACUUCUCUGUGGUUCAGGUGUCUCUGUUGACAACUUCUCUGUGGUUCAGGUGUCUCUGUUGACAACUUCUCUGUGGUUCAGGUGUCUCUGUUGACAACUUGGUGGAAUGUCUUGGAGGUCAUUUCAAAAAGUGCCUAUGAGACAAUGCUAAUAUUUCAAACUCCCUUUUACCAAGAAAACUAGCCAUCUGGAA